GGAAGGAUCAUUAACACUUGGGUUUCGUGCCCGUUUUCCAAACCACAUGUUAACAAAUUUGAAUUUGUGUUUGGUCUGUUGCUGUGUGUGUGUGCGUGUGAAAUAUAACUCACACACGAAGCCUGACUAUUUCAAACUAAAAAUUAAACUCGAAACUAAAUAAAAAUUAUACAACCAAAUAUACAACUCUUAGCAAUGGAUAUCUUGGUUCCCACAACGAUGAAGAACGCAGCGAAAUGCGAUACGUAAUGCGAAUUGCAGAAUUCAGUGAAUCAUCAAAUCUUUGAACGCAAGUUGCACCUUUGGGUAUCCCUGAAGGUAUGCCUCUUUGAGUAUCGGUUUCUAACUUUGAAUUAAGUUUCAAGAGACUGAGUUUUUCUCGGCUGCAAAGCUGUGAAUCUCUUCAAGUUGAGUGAGCGUUCAAUGCUACGACGACACGCAACACACCUUUUCGACAAACGAGGUGCGGUUGGGUCGCCUGGCGCCGAACGCAACAUCCAAACAACAAGAUCUCAAAUGAGGUAAGACUACCCGCUGAAUUUAAGCAUAUAAUUAAGCGGAGGAAAAGAAACUAACAAGGAUUCCCUCAGUAACGGCGAGUGAAGCGGGAAGAGUUCAAACCUAAAAUCUCUGGCUUGCCAGCGAAUUGUGGUCUAUUGAAGCGUGUCUCAGUGUACAGACCCGGCCUAAAUCGAUUGGAACAUCGUAUCAGAGAGGGUGAGAAUCCCGUCUUUGGCUGGGAGCCUGUCGCGUUCGAGCCGUUUUCGAAGAGUCGGGUUGCUUGGGAGUGCAGCCCUAAGUGGGUGGUAAAUUUCAUCUAAAACUAAAUAUCUGUGGGAGACCGAUAGCGAACAAGUACCGUGAGGGAAAGAUGAAAAGAACUUUGAAAAGAGAGUCAAAAAGUACUUGAAAUUGCUGAGAACGAAGGGAUGGCGACUAGUAUUGGGCGAGGCGACAUCACGGUUGGCCCAGGGUCGUGCGUUUGGAUUGCUUACGCUUCCAGUCGUUCGAUUUCGAAGUUGAUCGUGGAUCCUGUCGUCUUGUCUUAGGUCAGAAUGGAUUUGCUUCGGUUGAAAAUGACAGCGGGAAGGUACCUUGCUUGCAAGAACUUAUAGCCCGUUGUCACGAGACUGUCGCGGAUUGAGGUGCUGAAGCACGCGCUUAGCUUUGUUGUGUUUUCCGCUGUUGAGUUGUCGCCGUUGGGGAACAAAGUUCCGUCUCGGUUGGCAGCUUGCACUCGGGAUGUCACUCAUAUGCGUGCUCGGGAUUCUGACGAAAUGGUCGUCAUUCGCCCGUCUUGAAACACGGACCAAGGAGUCUUACAUAUAUGCGAGUAAUCAAGUGGAAAACUUGCUUGCGGAAUGAAAGUAAUUGAAUGUGAUGGCGUUCGCGUCAGCAACAUCGGGCGGCUAAAAUAACUGUACGACCAUGAGCAUAUCUGUAGGGACCCGAAAGAUGGUGAACUAUGCUUGAGCAGGAUGAAGCCAGGGGAAACUCUGGUGGAAGUCCGAAGCGAUACUGACGUGCAAAUCGUUCGUCUGACUUGAGUAUAGGGGCGAAAGACUAAUCGAACUAUCUAGUAGCUGGUUCCCUC
rnacentral:misc_RNA from 1 species